AAGCCUUGAACCCACACCGUACCCUGCAUCCCACUUCCGGCCUCUACCUCUCCCACCCAUCGCUACCGCCCCACGUAUGCCGCUACCCCAUAUGAGCUUAUCCGCGCCACCACCAGCCAUACAUCGUGCAUCGCUGUCUCUUCCCCACGGUCCCCUUCUUCCCUCUCCGUCGCCUCUCUCGGAUCUUUGAGAAGCUCGACGUUGCCACGCCUGAGAACGCGCGCUGUGUCCCUCCGAAUCACGCCGUGACCACAUCUUCUUCUUCAACUCCGACAUCGGCGCCGCCGUGUCGCCGAUCUCCUCUGCGAGCAAACCCUAGCCAAAUUUUCAUAUCCACCCUGAGAUCCUGACCUGCCCGCCUGCUAAUGCAGACGGAGGCGCGGGUGGGCGGUGUCGUUGUCGACUGCCGGGGCGCCGACCGCUAGAAUCAGGAACGUCGGCACCGCCACCAUGGCACACCUCGCUGCUGACGGGAUCGGGCGGACGUCGUCAGCAAGACCUGCACAAGGCCCCUCCCCUGCCUCACCAUACUCUUACAGGUACGGGAUAAACCUUGGGGUUCUAUCAAACUAAGGAAUUGAAGUGUUUAUGUGAGUGGCUGACCCGUGGUGGAGGUGUGUGAGCAGCGCAUCCCCGAUCUGUGUGAUCAGCAUGUCCACGUCUCCCAACCUGCCGGCUGCCACUUCUCAACACUGACCUCAAGAAUCCUCGAAUGGAUUUGCAGGCUAUGGAUCAAUACCGCUCCAUUGGUCUAACAUAGUUGGUUCAUGUUUAGCAUUUGGCAACAUAGAAUUUCGUCGAUGUACGGCUUUGGCUUGGAGAUUUUGUCAACAUCAAAUUUUGACAAUUUCGUGAUGAAGCACGAGCGGGUUAGAGCUCUGAAAAUGCAAUGUUCGCUGUGGCCGACGAGGCGCAGACUGUGGGUGAGUGGUGGGAGAGGCUCUGCUCCGCCGGCGGAUCGAAGGAGCAAAACAGGCUGAAUAUGACCGUGGCAGCCUACACUGUGUGGAACCUCUGGAAGGAGAGAAAUCAACGAGUAUUCGAGAAUAAAGAGCUGACUGCUACUGCUCUAGCUGGGCUCAUCAAGGAUGACAUCAAGUGCUUUGGGGAGGCAACUAGAGGGAUUCCCUUUGUAGGGCCGUAAUUUUUUCUGUCUCCUAAACCUCACGUUGUAAUGUGGGAUGCGACCUCCUCUCGUUGGUCCAUCCGUUUCUGUAUGUCUUCUCUUCUAUAAUGCAAAGGCAGAGCUCCUGCUAUUCCCAUCAAAAAAAAAA